GACGUAGGGGGCAAGCGUUGUCCGGAUUUACUGGGCGUAAAGCGCACGUAGGCGGAUUUGUAAGUCAGGGGUGAAAUCCCGGGGCUCAACCUCGGAACUGCCUUUGAUACUGCAAGUCUUGAGUCCGAUAGAGGUGAGUGGAAUUCCUAGUGUAGAGGUGAAAUUCGUAGAUAUUAGGAAGAACACCAGUGGCGAAGGCGGCUCACUGGAUCGGUACUGACGCUGAGGUGCGAAAGCGUGGGGAGCAAACAGG
rnacentral:rRNA from 1 species